CCUGUCAAUGUCAUCUCUGUCACUGGCAACAGGUCUGUUGGUAGAGAGGAGAACCAACAGAGGGGUCCUGGCAGAAUGUUCCCCCAAUCACUCAGUUUUUGCAAAAUGCUCCCCUAGGCGCCAGAGUCUGGCAGGAAACUCUCUGAUAUCCCAUCAGUGCCCUUAAUGCUCCAGGCUGGAUUCACCUUGCAGCUGUCUGCUCUGUGCCCUCCUGCUUUUAACUGUGACACAUCGAAAGCAAGACGUCUGAAGUAAACACGUUCCUGACUGUAAAUGACUGGGACACAGGUGACCCAGUUCUCUCAGUCUGUCAUUACGCAAUAGGAAUGGACCACACGGGACAUUUCAGGAACAGCGGUGAGCUGGUGGACGAAUCCAAGACCAGACAACCUAGAAUGGGAAGAGAGAGCAGGGUUCAAAGGCCAGUAGACGUGGACUCUACAAGCAAAGGCUCCUUCUUCCAUCAUCCUCUCUAACUGGCUCUAAAGAUCAUUCGAGGUCAGAACGUGCACCUGAUAUUCGUUGAAUGAACAAGUAGAAGAAAACAAAGCAAGUCAAAGCAAGCAGGGGUCUGGACAAGCAGUUAAGGAGACAGGCAAGCACAUCGGAUAAUGGUGAGCAGUCGGACUGGCCUUGGGGUCCAAGACACAGAGCCAGUUAAGCCCAAGCCUGACAAGAGGUGGGGCCAUGUGCUAUCCACGCUACCCCUACCCUGCAAGGAGCAAACCUUCAGUCAGAGAACUUGGUGGCCUUAUGGAGGAGGGCUGACAGCAGCUGAUACUUAAGGGUUCAAGGACUCCAGGCCAGCUUUGGAGUAUCUCCUGGGAGAUAUUCAUUUGACAUCACGGAGAACACAGACACUUCUGCCACUCACAGAAGAGUGGAUUUUGAAGACCUGAGAGCAGCAAGGAGGAGUUUGGAAGACCGUAUAAUUCACCCUCUUUGUCACCCAGACCUUAGGACAAAACAAGAUGAAUGGCUGACUGGGUAAAAUCUAAAGUAGUCUCUCUCUUAUUGUUUGG
ensembl:lncRNA